AUGACGCCCGGAAAUUACGGAGCCUCCGAGAGGGCGAUUGGGAGGCGACUCUCGAGUGAAGACGAGAAGAUCUUGCCGGAGGCAGGAUCCCAGGACCAAGGAUGGAAGAUAGCGGAGAAAGAAAGCAGAUCGGAAUUAGGCAAAGUGAGUGACCCGCUAGGGAUGCGAGAGGCAUGGCUCAAAACCAGGAAAGCGAUCAAGGAGUUGGCGGUGAGAAGGAAAAGCCAUGAUGGGGAUCGUAAGUUUUCCAGGAAACAGAUCCCGGAUGCGGAAGAACCUACAAUGGUCAGGAUCAGGGAAAAGAUGCGCACAAUGAGAGAGGAUAUGAAGAGCGGAUUGGGAGGGCUCGAUCGCCAAAAAGAAGUGCCUCAGGCAAGGGCCUCGCCGACGAAAGAUCCACCAGAUAAGGGCGGCGGGAUUGCAAGAUCUGAUGUAGAGGAAAGGGAUCACCUGGUAAGGAAUACAUCAACAAAAUCACUGGUUACCAUGUUACACCACGGAUCUGAUCGCGAAGGAACGGGUACAAAAGACCGGGGAGGGAAGGAGACGGAAACAAAAUCCACUUUGCCUUCGCUUGCCAGUGCUCAUCCAAAGCCAAUGGCGGGCCGUGAGUCCAAGGACAAGUCCAUCGUGGAGGUUGAGAGCGAGGCGCCGCGCCCCGGCGAUGGGAGCAACACUGCUCGUGUGCUCCUCCGUGGCGACUCCUCCCGUGGCCAGGAAGGAAGGGCAACCCUGAGAAGGUUGGGAGCCGGCGCUAGCACCGUCAUCCCUAGGUUCCCAGUUAACCUGGGGACGAGGAGAGACGGUGUGGUCGAGCUGGACCUCACCAAAGAGAGAGCCGCCAUGAAAAACCGGUGGAUUGCUGUUGGGCUCUACUUCUCGCCCUUGCCCUACAGCAAUGAAGGCCUCAUCGGCAACCUGAAGAACAAGUGGGGUCUCCGCGGCCACCUCGACUACAAGCCACUCAAGAAUAACCGCUUCCUCCUGGAGUUUGAACGGGAGGGAGACCGGCACUUCAUCCUCGACAACGGCCCUUGGACGUACAAUGGUGACGCCUUCCUGAUGGUGGCAAACGACGGCGGCAAGCCGCCGAACGAGGUGGAGGUCGCCCACAUGCCAAUUUGGGUGCGCAUCCACGAUGUCCCCCCGAUCAUGCUGGAUGAAGGGGUGGCCUGGAAGCUUGGCAGCAUGCUUGGAGAGGUGCUCGAGGUGGACACCAACAGGAGUGGUAAGGUCUGGGGUGACUUCAUAAGAGUCAGAGUAAACCAUGAUGUAGAUGAACCCCUCAGCAACAAAAUCACAACCCGAGAUAGGCCUAGUAAUGAGUUGUUUUUCCUUGAGCUUAAGUAUGAGAGAGUGCCUAGAUUUUGUGGGUAUUGUGGAUUUCUCGGGCAUGGCCAACGCGAUUGUAAGUUGCCGGUGGACCUCCAAGAGAUGAGGUACACGGCAACAAUGCGUGCCUCCCCAUACAAGAACAACAACAGCAAGGGAGGAUAUGUAGCUCCAGUUGCGGGUAGUGCUAGGCGUUUCCUCGGUUUCGGGAAGGAGUUGUAUGGAGGGGACAGGGCUCAUCAGCAUGGGCUGUCACAGGAGAAGAUCUCAGAGGAAGUUCUUGCCAAUCCUCUGGUGCAGGCAGCCAUAGCCGUUGUCAACGCGAUCAAGGUCUCCGACAGUGGCUCCCAGCUCGCAGCGCAGAUGACGCCCCCUGCCUUGGAUCAGUUUGGGAACGAGGUGGAAACAGGACAACAGGAAAAGAAACAGUCGGGUGAUGCAACUCCUCUGAAGGACAGGGUAAAUAUGGCGCCUUUGGUUCAGGAUAACACAGUGAGACAGGAUGCAGUGCACACAGAAGAAGGGGACCCUCCGUUCCCACCUGGUUUUGGUCCAGUGGCCCGGUUUGGAAGUGGCGAGACUAACACAAACCAGUCUGCCUCGCUGACUGGCAAGGCCGAAGCGGCGGUGGAGAAAUCAGCUGUGAAAGGUACCAGGAAGGCGAACACAAGUGCAGACCAGGUGAACUCUGUUCUUGGCAAGAGGAGUGACAGAGAGAAGGAAGAAGCGGACCAAGUAGAGACAGAAAAUGGGAGAGAGGUCGAAGAACAGAAGAAGAAGAUCAGAGGGACUGCAGAAGUUGAGGAUGGGCAGGUUCAGGUGGAGGGGGAUGGAAUGGAAGCAACCGGCAAUGGGGCUACCGGUAACCUGGUGGGCGCUGAGAUUGGCGCCCGCCAGGAGCCAUGA
rnacentral:rRNA from 1 species